GGGUAUUGGUUGUUAAAGGGUGGUCUUUUGGGCUUGCCAAGUUCAACCACCUAAGGAUAAGGACCUGCCCGGUCCCAUUAAGGCUAGUUGGGUGGAGGGGUAACGGGCUUCACCAAGGGCCCAACGAUGGGGGUAGGGCCGGCCCUGGAGAAGGGGGUUGGUCCGGGGCCACACCUGGGGGACCUGGAAGAUACGGGGCCCCAGACUUCCCCUACGGGGAAGGCAGCCAGGGUGAGGGAAUAUUUGGGGUCAAUGGGCCCCGAAAGGGCUGAAAACCCAGCAACGCCCGCCGGUGAGGGGAUGGAAAGGAUCCAAGGGGAUCGUUAAAACCUCCUUGGUUAGAAGGGGAACCGAAUAACCUCCCCAUGGUUGGAACAAUCAAUUGGGGGCCUGGACCGGGUACCUUCAGGAAGGAAAGCCCCCCGGCUAAACCUCCGUGGGCCAGCAGCCCCGCGGUAAUAACCGGGGGGGGGGCAAGCGUUUUGUCCGGAAUUUUAUUGGGGGUGUAAAAAGGGUGCCGUUAAGGCGGGUUGGGCCAAAGUCCGUGGGUGAAAAUCCCCCGCAGCUUUAACCUGGCAGACGGGGUCCAUGGGGAUACUGCCUUGAUCUUGAGGUGCCGGAGAGAGAAGGAGUGGGAAUUCCCCAGUGGUAGCGGGUGAAAAUGCGGUAGAAGAUUUGGGGAAAGAACACCCCAGUAGGCGGAAGGGCGGCUCUUUUGGGCUCGGUUACUUGACGCCUGAAGGCACGAAAAGCCGUGGGGGAGCAAAACAGGGAUUAAGAUACCCCUGGGUAGUCCCACGCCCCUAAAACGAAUGAGGGACUAGGGUGUCGGGGUCGCAAGGACUCGGGUGCCCGCAGCCUAACGCAUUAAAGUCCUUCACCCUGGGGGAAUACGGGCCGCAAGGGUUGAAAACUCAAAAGGAAUUUGACGGGGGGCCCGCACAAAGCAGUGGAAGCAUGUGGGUUUAAUUCCGACGCAACCGCGAAAGAACCUUUACCUGGGGCUCCAAAAUGUUAGUGCCAUCCCCAUGAAAAGUGGGCUUCCUCGCAAGAGACGCUAAUAUAAGGUGCUGCAUGGCUGUCGUCAGCUCGUGUCGUGAGAAGUUGGGGUUAAGUCCCGCAACGAGCGCAACCCUUUGUCUUUAGUUGCCACCGGGUUCAAGUCAUCAUGGCCCUUACGUCCAGGGAAACACCGUGCUACAAUGGUCGGUACAGAGGGCGAACCCCCAGGCAAAGGUAUCCCAAAAACCCACCUCUUUCGGAUAAAAGGUGGAACUCGCUUUU
rnacentral:rRNA from 1 species